AGAGUUUGAUCCUGGCUCAGGAUGAACGCUAGCUACAGGCUUAACACAUGCAAGUCGAGGGGCAGCAUGUUGGUUGCUUGCAACCAAUGAUGGCGACCGGCGCACGGGUGAGUAACGCGUAUCCAACCUACCCUUGUCCAUCGGAUAACCCGUCGAAAGGCGGCCUAACACGAUAUGCGGUUCUCAGCAGGCAUCUAACGAGAACGAAAUGUGAAGGAGAAGGAUAGGGAUGCGUCUGAUUAGCUUGUUGGCGGGGUAACGGCCACCAAGGCGACGAUCAGUAGGGGUUCUGAGAGGAAGGUCCCCCANAUUGGAACUGAGACACGGUCCAAACUCCUACGGGAGGCA
rnacentral:rRNA from 1 species